rnacentral:tRNA from 1 species
AUUUAUGUAGUAUAACAAUUAUAUUUGACUUCCAAUCAAAAGAUCUAUUUUAUAGUAUAAAUA